CACUGCAGGGAACGGAGCGGUGAGGUAAACCGAAAGUAAACAGUGACGUCGGUAAUAGAUGAGGGGAGGAAGGCUUCAAAAAUUGGACUUGGCAAAAAAAUAUUGUUUGUCUAAAUGUUUCCCGUCACGCCUCAGUAGUCAAUAUAAAGCGGGUUUUAUAGGACGUCGCUAUCAGACUCCACCGCGGCUACUCUGAAAGUGAGAGG